UACAGAGGGGGCAAGCGUUGUUCGGAAUUACUGGGCGUAAAGGGCGCGUAGGCGGCCUUCCAAGUCGAACGUGAAAUCCCCGGGCUCAACCCGGGAACUGCGUCCGAUACUGGAAGGCUUGAAUCCGGGAGAGGGAUGCGGAAUUCCAGGUGUAGCGGUGAAAUGCGUAGAUAUCUGGAGGAACACCGGUGGCGAAGGCGGCAUCCUGGACCGGCAUUGACGCUGAGGCGCGAAAGCCAGGGGAGCAAACGGG
rnacentral:rRNA from 1 species